UCCAGCAUGGUGUAGUGGUUAGAGUGUUGGAUUAGGACUCUGGAGACCAAGGUUCGAAUCCCUGUUCAGCCA